rnacentral:rRNA from 1 species
GAUGAACGCUAGCUACAGGCUUAACACAUGCAAGUCGAGCGACCGGCGCACGGGAGAGUUAUACGUAUCCAACCUGCAUGUUACUCGGUGAUAGCCUGUAGAAAGAACGAUUAACACCUGACAUGAUGGAUGCGGAUGCGUUACCUUAGGUUGUUGGUGAGGUACCGGCCCACCAAGCCUUCCCUGGGUAGGGGUUCUGAGAGUAAGGUACCCCGCAUUGGAGCUGAGACCCGGACCAAACUCCUAGGGAGGGGAGCAGUAAGGAAUAUUGGUCAAUGAGCGUUAGCCUGAACCAGCCGAGUAUCGUAAAGGAUGAAGGGUUAUGGGUGGUAAUCUUCCUGUGUGGAAGAAUAGGUAUUAGAUGAAUAAGGAUCGGCUAACUCCGUGCCAGCAGCCGCGGUAAUUC